CAUAAUCAGGAUUCUGAUGAUACUAAACAGGGGCUCCAGAGCUUCUGUGUAUUCUGCAGGUACCACAAAAGUCAGGAUCCUUGGCCACAGCACCUGUGGAAUAUAGGAAGCAUAAUAAAUCAACUGUUGGACAAUUGCAUCAUCCAAGAUGUCAGUAUUCUGAAUAACAGAAGUGAGAUGACUGUAAAUGUCUUCCUGUGAACAUACAAAGGCAUACAUAGAAAUUUGGAUUGCAAAACUAAAGAAUCAAAUGAAGUCCUAAUGAAUAACACCAUUAAAGUGGAGUUUCACUCAUUUUGGCCAGGUCAGAGUGCAAUGGC